UAGGGAAUCUUCCACAAUGGACGCAAGUCUGAUGGAGCAACGCCGCGUGAGUGAAGAAGGUUUUCGGAUCGUAAAGCUCUGUUGUUGGUGAAGAAGGAUAGAGGCAGUAACUGGCCUUUAUUUGACGGUAAUCAACUAGAAAGUCACGGCUAACUACGUGCCAGCAGCCGCGGUAAUACGUAGGUGGCAAGCGUUGUCCGGAUUUAUUGGGCGUAAAGCGAGCGCAGGCGGAAGAAUAAGUCUGAUGUGAAAGCCCUCGGCUUAACCGAGGAAUUGCAUCGGAAACUGUUUUCUUGAGUGCAGAAGAGGAGAGUAGAACUCCAUGUGUAGCGGUGGAAUGCGUAGAUAUAUGGAAGAAUACCAGUGGCGAAGGCGGCUCUCUGGUCUGCAACUGACGCUGAGGCUCGAAAGCAUGGGUAGCGAACAGGAUUAGAUACCCUGGUAGUCCAUGCCGUAAACGAUGAGUGCUAAGUGUUGGGAGGCUUCCGCCUCUCAGUGCUGCAGCUAACGCAUUAAGCACUCCGCCUGGGGAGUACGACCGCAAGGUUGAAAC
rnacentral:rRNA from 1 species